GCAAGUAGAACGCUGAAGAGAGGAGCUUGCUCUUCUUGGAUGAGUUGCGAACGGGUGAGUAACGCGUAGGUAACCUGCCUGGUAGCGGGGGAUAACUAUUGGAAACGAUAGCUAAUACCGCAUGAAAUGGAUUAUCGCAUGAUAAUCGAUUGAAAGGUGCAAAUGCAUCACUACCAGAUGGACCUGCGUUGUAUUAGCUAGUUGGUGAGGUAACGGCUCACCAAGGCAACGAUACAUAGCCGACCUGAGAGGGUGAUC
rnacentral:rRNA from 1 species